UACGUAGGGGGCAAGCGUUAUCCGGAAUCAUUGGGCGUAAAGCGCGUGUAGGCGGUUCCGUAAGUCCGCUCUGAAAGCCCAGGGCUCAACCCUGGGAGGCGGGUGGAUACUACGGAACUGGAGUACGGAAGAGGAGAUUGGAAUUCCUGGUGUAGCGGUGAAAUGCGCAGAUAUCAGGAGGAACACCAACAGCGAAGGCAGAUCUCUGGGACGUUACUGACGCUGAGACGCGAAAGCAUGGGGAGCGAACAGG
rnacentral:rRNA from 1 species